rnacentral:rRNA from 1 species
GACGUAGGCGGCGAGCGUUGUCCGGAUUCAUUGGGCGUAAAGAGCGCGCAGGCGGCUUGGUAAGUCGGAUGUGAAAUCCCGAGGCUCAACCUCGGGUCUGCAUCCGAUACUGCCCGGCUAGAGGUAGGUAGGGGAGAUCGGAAUUCCUGGUGUAGCGGUGAAAUGCGCAGAUAUCAGGAGGAACACCGGUGGCGAAGGCGGAUCUCUGGGCCGUACCUGACGCUCAGGCGCGAAAGCUAGGGGAGCGAACUGG